AUGUAUUAUUUAUUUUUACACACAGCUCCUCCCACUCCUAAACCGUCAACUGUCACCUCCAGACCACAUGUCUCUACAACCCUCCCAAGUUUCUCCACAACAUCCUCUAACCUCUCCACAACAUCCUCUAACCUCUCCUCAACCUUAUCAAACCUCUCUACAACAUCCUCUAACCUCUCCACAACCCUCCCAAACCUCUCCUCAACAUUCCUGCCAUCUGGAGACAUCAGUGUUGGUCCUUCAGAGAGAGCAGGUCUGAUGGUGUGGACACCACCACCACCACCAGUCUCCUCCAACACACAACCUGACCCUACUGGAGAGGUUGACUGUGUGUAUGAGGAGAUCAGAGAGGCAGACAGACAAACAGACACACUCCCUUUGGUCAUCUCUUCCGUCUACUCUACUGUCAACUCACCUACCAACUCUACAACCCACCCUGCUGACCAAGGCACCAGUCUCCCACACUGUGACAUCUAUGCUAACACUAGCUGCCGCAAAGAUGAUAUAAGAUGCCCUCCACUCUACAGCCCAGCUACCCAGAAUAAUGGAGGACUAUAGGAUCUACAGUAUACAGUAUAUGUUGGACCCCAGGAAGAGUAGAUUCUGCGUUUGCAACAGCUACUGGGGAUCCUAAUAAAAUACCAAAAUACCAAAAAUACAAGACAUGCGUCCCAAAUGGCUCCAAAUUCCACAUAUAGCGCACUACUUUUAACUAGAACCAUAUAGUCCUCUAAUGAGAAUAGGAUGCCACUUGGGACCAUAGAGAGAUGAAGAGUUGUCACCACAGCUCCGCCAUCUUGGAAGUGACAUCACAAAGACAGCUCAUGUGAUUUGACUGUAUGUACAACAUGGACUACCCAUCUGGGUUUAAAAUCUCGAGAUUUUCUCAAAGUCAACCAACAUUUUUGUAAAUACUUGUGUAAAUAUGAACUGUGUUUUAUCUUGUCUUCAUUUAGUCUGUUAUAAUAAUGAAGACAGUAAAGCCAUAAUAGUCAGUUCUACCUUUGAGAUUUACAUAUCUAUUGUAUAUGUACAUACACUUUGGCUUUUUAAGCUUUUCAUUAACUUUAAUCAAAAUGUGUGUGUUUGUCAGUGUGUGUGUAGUCAAAUCAAAUGCUAUUGGUCACAUACACAUGGUUAGCAGAUGUUAUUGGUCACAUACAUGGUUAGCAGAUGUUAAUGCGAGUGUAGCGAAAUGCUUGUGCUUCUAGUUUCUACAGUGCAGUAAUAUCUAACAAGUAAUCUAACAAAUUCACAAUCACUACCUUAUACACACAAAUGUAAAGGGAUCCUGCUUUGAUGCACCUGUACUGACCUCGCCUUCUGGAUGAUAGCGGGUUGAACAGGCAGUGGCUCGGGUGGUUGUUGUCCUUGAUGAUCUUUUUGGCCUUCCUGUUACAUCGGAUGGUGUAGGUGUCCUGGAGGGCAGAUCAUUCCCCCCCCAGUGAUGCGUUGUGCAGACCUUACUACCCUCUGGAGAGCCUUGCAGUUGUGGGCGGUGCAGUUGCCGAUCCAGGCGGUGAUAGUAUGCUCUCGAUUGUGCAUCUGUAAAAGAUUGACGGUUUUAGAUGACAAGCCACAUUUCUUCAACCUCCUGAGGUUGUAGAGGCGCUGUUGUGCCUUCUUCACCAUGCUGUCUGUGUGGGUGGACCAUUUGAGUUUUUCCGUGAUGUGUACGCCAAGGAACUUAAAACUUUCCACCUUCUCCAAUACUGUCCCAUUGAUGUGGAUGGGGGGGAUGCUCCCUCUGCUGUUUCCUGAAGUCCACGAUCAUCUCCUUUGUUUUGUUGACGUUGAGUGUGAGGUUAUUUGCCUGACACCACACUCCGAGGGCCUUCACCUCCUCCCUGUAGGUUGUCUCGUCGUUGUAGGUAAUCAAGCCUACCAAUAUAGUGCCGUCUGCAAACUUGAUGAUUGAGUUGGAGGCUUGCAUGGCCAUGCAGUCAUGGGUGAACAGGGAGUACAGGAGAGGGCUGAGAACACACCCUUGUGGGGCCCCUUUGUUGAGAAUCAGCGUGGUGGAGAUGUUGUUACCUACCUUCACUACCUGGGGGCAGACCGUCAGAGGGUCCAGGACUCAGUUGCGCAGGGUGGGAUCGAGACCCAGGGUCUCAAGAUUAAUGUUGAGUUUGGAGGGUACUAUGGUGUUAAAUACUGAGCUGUCGUCAAUGAACAGCAUUCUUACAUAGGUAUUCCUCUUGUCCAGAUGGGAUAGGGCAGUGUGCGGUGUGAUGGUGAUUGCAUUUUCUGUGGACAUAUUGGGGCAGUAAGCAAAUUGAAGUGGGUCGUGGGUAACAGGUCGGGUGGAGGUGAUAUGAUCCUUGACUAGUCUCUCAAAGCACUAAGGGGCGAUAGUCAUUUUCCGUUGCCUUCUUGGCCACCAUUGUUCCUGUUUCCAUCAGCAUGCGGGGACAGCAGACUGGGAUAGGGAUUGAUUUAAUAUGUCCAGCCAGCUGGUCUGCGCAUGCUCUGAGGACACGGCUAGGGAUGAUGUCUGGGCCAGCAGCCUUGUGAGGGUUAACAUGUUUAAAUGUUUUAACCACGUCGGCCACGGAGAAGGAGAGCCCACAGGUUUUGGUAGCGGGCCAUGCCACUUUAAUAAUGGGAAUUGAUGGGAAAUGAUGUAAAUAUAUCACUAGCCACUUUAAACAAUGCUACCUUAUAUAAUGUUACUUACCCUACAUUAUUCAUCUCAUAGGCAUACGUAUAUACUGUACUCUAUAUCAUCGACUGUAUCCUUAUGUAAUACAUGUAUCACUAGCCACUUUAACUAUGCCACUUUGUUUACAUACUCAUCUCAUAUGUAUAUACUGUACUCGAUACAAUCUACUGUAUCUUGCCUAUGCUGCUCUGUACCAUCACUCAUUCAUAUAUCCUUAUAUUCUUUAUCCCCUCACACUGUGUACAAGACAGUAGUUUUGGAACUGUUAGUUAGAUUACUUGUUGGUUAUUACUGCAUUGUCGGAACUAGAAGCACAAGCAUUUCGCUACACUCGCAUUAACAUCUGCUAACCAUGUGUAUGUGACAAAUAAAAUUUGAUUUGAUUUGAUUUGAUGUCGGUGCCACUGAUCCGUGAUUGUCUGUAGAGCCUGCCACAUACGUCUCAUGUUUGAGCCGUUGAAAUGCGACUCCAAUUUCUCUCUAUGCUGACACUUUGCUUGUUUGAUUGCCUUGCGGAGGGAAUAACUCCACCAUUUGUAUUCGGUCAUGUUUCUAGUCGAUUCAAUGUGGUGAUUCACGCUUUCAGUUUCGAAGGAAUGCUGUCAUCAAUCCACAGUUUCUGUUUUAAGGAAGGGCUUACUAGUGAAAGUAGUGUGUUUUUGUCAGUGUGUGUGUAGUGUGUUUUUGUCAGUGUGUGUGUGUGUGUGUGUGUAGUGUGUUUUUAUCAGUGUGUGUGUGUGUGUGUGUGUAGUGUGUUUUUAUCAGUGUGUGUGUGUGUGUGUAGUGUGUUUUUGUCAGUGUGUGUGUGUGUGUUUGUGUAGUAUGUUUUUGUCAGUGUAUGUGUAGUGUGUUUUUGUCAGUGUGUGUGUGUGUAGUGUGUUUUUGUCAGUGUGUGUGUGUGUGUGUGUAGUGUGUUUUUGUCAGUGUGUGUGUGUGUAGUGUGUUUUUGUCAGUGUGUGUGUGGGUAGUGUGGUUUUGUCUGUGUGUGUGUGUGGGUAGUGUGGUUUUGUCUGUGUGUGUGUGUGUGUGUAGUGUGUGUUUGUCAGUGUGUGUGUGUAGUGUGUGCUUGUCAGUGUGAAUAGCGUGUUUUGUUACUGUGUGUAUGUAGUGUGUUUUUGUCAGUGUGUGUGUAGUGUGUUUUUGUCAGUGUGUGUGUGUGUGUAGUGUGUGUUUGUCAGUGUGUGUGUGUAGUGUGUGCUUGUCAGUGUGUGUGUGUGUGUGUGUGUGUGUGUGUGUGUGUAGUGUGUUUUUGUCAGUGUGUGUAGUGUGUGUUUGUCAGUGUGUGUGUCUAGUGUGUGUAGUUUGUUUAUCAAGUCAGGUGAGAGGUUUUUCUCGUAACAGAGAACUGUGCUGGUUUCUCUUCUCAGGACUGUUCCCUCUUGACUUUCUCACUUACUGGGAAACUGCGUGUGUGUGUGUGUGUGUGUGUGUGUGUGUGUGUGUGUGAGAGUGUGUGAGUGUGUGAGUGAGUGAGUGAGUGAGUGAGUGAGUGAGUGAGUGAGUGAGUGAGUGAGUGAGUGUGUGCUCCUCCUGACAGAGCUGGUGUAACUGAGUCAGGUUUGUAGGCCUCCUUGCUCGCACACACUUUUUCAGUUCUGCCCACAAAUAUUCUAUAGGAUUGAGGUUAGGUCUUUGUGAUGGCCACUCUAAUACCUUGACUUUGUUGUCCUUAAGCCAUUUUCCACAACUUUGGAAGUAUGCUUGGGGUCAUUGUCCAUUUGGAAGACCCAUUUGUGACCAAGCUUUAACUUCCUGACUGAUGUCUUGAGAUGUUGCUUCAUUAUAUCCACAUAAUAUUCCUGCCUCAUGAUGCCAUCUAUUCUAUUCUGUCCCUCCUGCAGCAAAGCACCCCCACAACAUGAUGCUGCCACCCCCGUGCUUCACGUUUGGGAUGGUGUUCUUCGGCUUGCAAGCCUCCCCCUUUAUCCUAAAGACUCUUUAUAUACUCCAGUGUUAGUAACCCCCCCCCAGACUCUGUUAUAUACUCCAGUGUUAGUAACCCCCCCCAGACUCUGUUAUAUACUCCAGUGUUAGUAACCCCCCCCAGACUCUGUUAUAUACUCCAGUGUUAGUAACCCCCCCCCAGACUCUGUUAUAUACUCCAGUGUUAGUAACCCCCCCCAGACUCUGUUAUAUACUCCAGUGUUAGUAACCCCCCCCAGACUCUGUUAUAUACUCCAGUGUUAGUAACCCCCCCAGACUCUGAUAUAUACUCCAGUGUUAGUAACCCCCCCCCCCCAAACUCUGUUAUAUACUCCAGUGUUAGUAACCCCCCCCCAGACUCUGUUAUAUACUCCAGUGUUAGUAACCCCCCCCAGACUCUGUUAUAUACUCCAGUGUUAGUAACCCCCCCCAGACUCUGUUAUGUACUCCAGUGUUAGUAACC
rnacentral:lncRNA from 1 species